GACAGAGGCCUCAAGCGUUAGGCGGAAUCACUGGGCUUAAAGCGUGUGUAGGCGGAUCGUUAAGUGUCUUGUGAAAUCCCACGGCUCAACCGUGGAACUGCUGGGUAUACUGCCUGUCUUGAGCCAGCUAGGGGCGAGCGGAACAGACGGUGGAGCGGUGAAAUGCGUAGAUAUCGUCUGGAACGCCGAAGGUGAAAACAGCUCGCUGGGGCUGUGCUGACGCUGAGACACGAAAGCCAGGGGAGCGAACGGGG
rnacentral:rRNA from 1 species